UACGAAGGGGGCUAGCGUUGCUCGGAAUCACUGGGCGUAAAGCGCACGUAGGCGGAUUGUUAAGUCAGAGGUGAAAUUCUGGAGCUCAACUCCAGAACUGCCUUUGAUACUGGCAAUCUCGAGUCCGGGAGAGGUGAGUGGAACUGCGAGUGUAGAGGUGAAAUUCGUAGAUAUUAGGAAGAACACCGGUGGCGAAGGCGGCCCACUGGUCCGGUACUGACGCUGAGGUGCGAAAGCGUGGGGAGCAAACAGG
rnacentral:rRNA from 1 species